CCUACGGGAGGCAGCAGUGGGGAAUCUUGCGCAAUGGGCGAAAGCCUGACGCAGCAACGCCGCGUGCGGGAAGAAGGCUUUCGGGCUGUAAACCGCUUUCAGCAGGAACGAAAAUGACGGUACCUGCAGAAGAAGGAGCGGCCAACUAUGUGCCAGCAGCCGCGGUGAUACAUAGGCUUCAAGCGUUGUCCGGAUUUAUUGGGCGUAAAGAGUUCGUAGGCGGUCGAGUAAGUCGGGUGUGAAAAUUCUGGGCUCAACCCAGAGACGCCACCCGAUACUGCUUGACUUGAGUUCGAUAGGGGAGUGGGGAAUUCCUAGUGUAGCGGUGAAAUGCGCAGAUAUUAGGAGGAACACCGGUGGCGAAGGCGCCACUCUGGAUCGAUACUGACGCUGAGGAACGAAAGCAUGGGUAGCAAACAGGAUUAGAUACCCUGGUAGUCCAUGCCGUAAACGGUGGGCACUAGGUGUGGGUUUCUAUUAACGAAAUCCGCGCCGUCGCUAACGCAUUAAGUGCCCCGCCUGGGGAGUACGGUCGCAAGCUAAAACUUAAAGGAAUUGACGGCNGAGAGUGCGAGACGACGACGAGGAGAG
rnacentral:rRNA from 1 species